AAGGAGGGAGAGGAUGUUUCUACAGGUGUCACAGAAAAAUCAAUCCCGAGCAACGGAUUAUUGGAUCUCAUAGAACCAUGGAGACUUGGCAGUGAAAUUCUUCCAGAGG
rfam:Erinaceus europaeus cont1.292644, whole genome shotgun sequence.